CAUAGUAGGCAGACGGGUGAGUAACGCGUGGGAACGUACCCUUACACUACGGAAUAGCCUCUGGAAACGGAAGGUAAUACCGUAUACGCCCUCCGGGGGAAAGAUUUAUCGGUGAAGGAUCGGCCCGCGUUAGAUUAGUUUGUUGGUGGGGUAAUGGCCUACCAAGACUACGAUCUAUAGCUGGUCUGAGAGGAUGAUCAGCCACACUGGGACUGAGACACGGCCCAGACUCCUACGGGAGGCAGCAGUGGGGAAUCUUGCACAAUGGGCGAAAGCCUGAUGCAGCCAUGCCGCGUGAAUGAUGAAGGCCUUAGGGUUGUAAAAUUCUUUCGCCAGGGAUGAUAAUGACAGUACCUGGUAAAGAAGCCCCGGCUAACUUCGUGCCAGCAGCCGCGGUAAUACGAAGGGGGCUAGCGUUGUUCGGAAUUACUGGGCGUAAAGCGCGCGUAG
rnacentral:rRNA from 1 species